GACGAAGGGGGCUAGCGUUGUUCGGAAUUACUGGGCGUAAAGCGCGUGUAGGCGGUUGUCCAAGUUGGAUGUGAAAGCCUUGAGCUUAACUCAAGAAAUGCAUUCAGGACUGGAUGACUAGAGGACCGGAGAGGAUAGUGGAAUUCCCAGUGUAGUGGUGAGAUACGUAGAGAUUGGGAAGAACACCAGUGGCGAAGGCGGCUAUCUGGACGGUUUCUGACGCUAAGACGCGAAAGCGUGGGGAGCAAACAGG
rnacentral:rRNA from 1 species